CGAAAAGUCAAAAUUCAUUUGUUCACCAAGCAUAUUAGAUGCUUAUUCAAGUUUUUGAUGUUAAUCUUUAUUGUGCAAUUAUUUUCCUGCAUUUAUUUAAAAACGUGGAGUAUUGAGGGCAACAUUUCAGAUCUAUCUAAGUCAGGUUGCUGUUCUACUCGCCAGGGCACCUAGCGCCGAACUGAAGUGGACUCAACCUGCCCCGGAGCUGAAUUGUCAUCUUCUCCAGGACAGGGCUCCUUCUUUGUGUUGUUUCCUGCUGCGCCCCUGUACCUGCAACAGCACCCACCGUGGAGGAGACAGUCGAUAAGAUUAUUUUUUAAUGUAGAAUAGACUUUAGUCUCUAAGUUUACCGCAACUCUGAACUCUACAAGCAUCAUACUUUCCUGAGAAUAAUCAGCAAACCAGCCUCCUUCAAUGACAGCAUAUGAAAGGAGCGGGAAAGGGCAUUUUCUCCGAUCCGCUCCUUUUGAAAACACCAAACCCUCCCAUUCUUACAAGGGUCAAUUAAAGAUAUUUAAUAUAUUCGUACCCAGAAAUGAAUUGUUUGGAACUCAACAGCCUAUUACUGACAAUUGGACAAGUGUCUUUUUGAACUCGGUGCAAAUAACGUGUAUCACAAAGGAGAUGAAUUAGAUGAAUAAAAAUGUCAAUAUACUGAGGACAGAAAAUACCUACCUGAGUGACUGAAAAUCGCAGAGGGUAGAAGUAGGUAGAGACAGAAAUUCAGAUGCCCUAGCUGAAAAUUUCACGUUCCACUACUAGGUUGCUUUCUUCUUUAUGCAAAUUCUUUGCAACAGAGUUAGGAGUCAUUUCCUGUGGUUGUGAAUGGAGGGAAUGACAAGAGAUGAACCUCUUGAGAUGGUAGCCUGACAGACUUCAAAUCAAGGAGCAUCUCUUUCUUAGCAAGCAUGAAGAUUAAACGGACUAAUGAAUCAAUGCUUUAGACCAUCCACUCCUGGGAGAACAUAUCACAGUCCCAUCAACAGUGGUCAGGUCAGGGGACAUUCGUUCUUGUCAACUGGAAAGUCUUCUAUCGUUGUGUUGAAAGCCUUGUUUCUCUCUGGGAAAUUACUUUAUUUAAUGGAGAUGGAUACCACUCUACAUAAUGAAAGAUCUUCACAAGGAUCGGAGAGGUACUUCAGCAAUCUUUUAACCCCUUGGUUUUAG
rnacentral:lncRNA from 1 species